rnacentral:rRNA from 1 species
GCUUGUCUCAAAGAUUAAGCCAUGCAUGUCUAAGUAUAAGCCUUUAUAUGGUGAGACUGCGAAUGGCUCAUUAAAUCAGAAACUGUUUAUUUGAUAGUGCCUACUACAUGGAUACCUGUAGUAAUUCUAGAGCUAAUACAUGCAAAAAGCCUGGACUUCUGGAACAGGCGUAUUUAUUAGAUAAAAGGCCGACCGGGCUUGCCCGACUCGCGGUGAAUCAUGAUAACUUCACGAAUCGCAUGGCCUCGUGCCGGCGAUGUUUCAUUCAAAUUUCUGCCCUAUCAACUUUCAACCGUAAGGUAGUGGCCUACGGUGGUGGUAACGGGUGACGGAGGAUUAGGGUUCGAUUCCGGAGAGGGAGCCUGAGAGAUGGCUACCACAUCCAAGGAAGGCAGCAGG